CACAAGUACGGCUGAAGAACUGCAAGAAAAGAACGCUAUCCUCUUUUUCAUGAAAGACUACUAUCCGCCCCCUCAUGUACAAUGCCUGGAAUAGUAACAGCACUGCCAGGCUUACUAAAUAUAGCAACCAGCUUGUUAUGUAAUGGGCUAUGUAUGUGAAUGGAGACAAGGGGCUGGAUGAAACGUGAAGGAUCAUGCAAUGUGGGCAAAGCAGCAGCAGCUGAGAGAUGCAAACAAGGCAGGACCCUUCGGGUUUUCGCUCACACAAGUUAGUUAUUUGCUAUUUUGUGCUUCCGGAAAGUUUCGGUCCCAACUAACUUUAGAAUGAAAGAAUAAAUAAAUUAGCAGAAGGGAGUAAUGAAUCAAUAAAUGGCAGCGAACUUUAUGGAUAUGGUGAGGAUGUGCACAUGAAAGCCCGGUCUGACUUUCUUAACAUGUUAUGCAGGAGGAACAUCAUGUGACAGCUUGCCCGUUCAUAAAUAUUCACCAUCUCUAUUCAUGCAGACUCUUCUCUUGAGGUAGUCAUUGUGCCUCGGCUCUGAACCAUGUGAUUCUGAUGGGAGGGGGAGAGUCUAUAAAUAGCUCUAUAGCUCGGCUUCCACUGACAUCAUUUAGGCAGGAGAGACGGAAAAAUAAACAGAGAGAAAGGGCUUUAAGGGCGGAGAUUCUUAAUCUGAACUUGAAAUUCAAACAAACCCUCAUCAAUUUUGAUUCCCCUCUCAACUCUCCAAUAGAAACCACCGGGGCAGUGUCCGUUUCCUAGAACAUCUACGUCUCUCCCGGUGGUGGAACAGAACUGAGGAAGGAGGGAGGGAGGGAUUGGGGAGGGGGACAUCAAACAAAGGAAAAAGAAACGUGUGACGGAAAGCCAAAGCAAAUAUUUUGGAUUAUGUUAUUAAUGGGAACUGGAGGAAGAUUAUGUGCAAGACUGCCUAUGUGUCAGAGUCUGUCAACAAUGAAGAUCGAUUACAUGAUGCCAUCCCAGCAAAUAAACUUCUGGAGUAAAUAAUGAAUCGUUCAUGUCUGGUCUGAUACUGAUGGUCGAAGAACACAUUAAACAUCUGAGCAAUGCAAAACUUAAUGCUUGACAAACGUUAGGAUUGUCAUUCUGAAAUAUGAUUCAUUCAACACAAUUAUUGGCUUUAUUUGUAAUGCACUGAGAAAAACCAGGGUGUUUUUUGGUGAGCACAUGUAAGGGGC